rnacentral:rRNA from 1 species
CCGAAUGCCUAAGGUUUCCUGAGGAAGGCUCGUCCGCUCAGGGUUAGUCGGGACCUAAGCCGAGGCCGAAAGGCGUAGGCGAUGGACAACAGGUUGAUAUUCCUGUACCACCUCCUCACCAUUUGAGUAAUGGGGGGACGCAGGAGGAUAGGGUAAGCGCGGUAUUGGAUAUCCGCGUCCAAGCAGUUAGGCUGGGAAAUAGGCAAAUCCGUUUCCCAUAAGGCUGAGCUGUGAUGGCGAGCGAAAUAUAGUAGC